UAAAUACAACUUAACGGUCGGCCCUCAUUUCAGUUACAUCCGUGUAUCGCACAAUCGCAAUGGAAUCUCUCUGCGUCGUAGCAGGAGAGCCCCUGAUUAAUUUCCAGUCAUACAAACGGAGGAGAUUAUACGACCUUAGGAAGAAAAGGAAUACCGAGAAAGCGACUCCAAAAUUGGAAGGCAUGAAGUUUAAGAGCACGUUAGUAGAACAGGUCGACGAGGAAAUCCUUGCAAAUUAACAGUCGAGAUGGGAGAAUUCCUCCAAAGGAAGAACGACACGUUGCUGUGUGCUCCGCGUUUUGUGAAAAAUUUUCUGAUUUAGUUUAUUUUGCCUGUGAAAAAUUUAUAUCUCACUCGUUAAUUAGAGUGCGGUGAACAAAGUGAGAUAAUAAUCAAUACUGGGGAUUGAUUAAUUACUCUGUAAUUAGUGAAAAAUGUGCUCAGUAGUUUUGUGGAGGUUAUGUUCGUUUUUGCGGAAAUGGCAUUUUAUAUUCUAUGGACGAACGGUGGAUUCAACUGAUAAGUUCAGUUGCAAGACGGAAGUGGAUUUGUAACUAGUCACGCUGUACUGUGAUUGGCUGUUGGAGUGGACAACAAUUUGUAGUGUAGGAGUGCAAAUUACUUAUUUUUCAACAGUUGGCGCAUAUAGGUCACUCUUAACCUCAAGUCUUAAAAGCGCGGGAAACGUACGGAACUUCAGGAACGGCUCUAGAGGCCUUGUCGCCCGUGAUGAAUUCCACUAAAAGUACAAGUCUCUACCGGUUUCAUUUUGGAUUUUGCGUGCGCCAACAGCUGUUCACGGUGCUUCACCGUCCUUCUAUUUACAGAUUUCGAGGGUGACCACUGUACGAAAAUUUCUCUUCGUGACAAAUAUGAAAAACAGCAUUUAUACCAAUAAUGAGAACAAGAGUAAGGCGUAAUUCUUAAGCAUAGUUUUGACGAACGCGGAGCAUGAAAUUACGACUAGUAAAUUUAUAUAGUGGAGAAAUAAAUUGAUUGACACGGUUGUUGGUCAUGCAGCUAAUGGAAGAUAAGUUGUUCUGUUUUAGAUUAUUAUUGCACAAUUUAUGGAGUCAUGGAUGAAUCAAUCUUUGUUUCGAUAAAAUAAAAGAAGUGAAAUCGAUUUAGAGUUUUAUUGUUAAUUUGCAUUCGUUUGUAUUUUGUGAUUUCAAUUAAAUUUUAAGAUGCAUGUGUAUUUGAAUAGAUUGUUAACAAAGCAGUCAUUAAGUCAGUGUUUGUUCGUAUAAAGUUUUAUUAAUGUUUGUUUUUUGUUUUUUUACAGGUCGAUAGACUAUACUUUAUAUGUGAAACAUCCAAUUGAAUUAAAUUUAUUGUCUGUCUCUUGAUCAUUAUAUCUGAUAAAUAAUUAUCGCGUAUUAAAGUCAAUGCACCAUGGAAGACGAUCAAGAAACUAGUAUAUUUCUUCUAUAGAACAAUGGUAUCAAUCUACUGCAACUUCAACCUACUUCAUUUUCAAUUUACUUUGAUGUAAAUCUAUCUUAUUUUUGACUUAUUACGAGUCAACCUACUCUAAUUUCAACCUACAAUAAGGAUGAAUGUUUUGGACCGUGGAAUUUCUUAAAUAAAGUCCGUUUUCCUAACGAGGAGUGAUAAGCCAUGGAUGCGCGGAUGGAAACGUUUAUUCUCGCAGGAACUUUCCUGUUGAAGAUGACUCACAUACCAGUAACUCAUUGACGACACGAUAUAGUUAAUUCAUAGUAGGUAUAAAAAUUGUCAAUGUAUAAUGUUCAUCCCUGGUUGAUAAACUUUCCUCUAAGUUGCAGACAUACAUUAUAUGCCAAUACAGUUUCUCUGAUAUCACUAUGUUAAUACCAUGGGACUUGAGAAAUAUAAAAAAUUUAGGGGUGUCCUAUUGUAUUGUCGCAAAAUGUAGUUGGCUUU